GCCGUCAAAAAACUAUAUGUUUACUUCUCACAAAAAAUAACUAUACGUUAACAAAUAUAGUCUACUAACUGAGACAACUUCGUGCGACAAUCCAUUUCUACAAAAGCAUGAGGUGAAUUGAGUUUUUGUACGCUGCUACAAAUACUAUGUGCCCUUGCAAAUUAAUUGGUGGCAAAAAAUUCUUUUGCAAAGACAUAUCCGAGCCAAAGCAAAGAGCCAAAGAAGAGAGAUAUCUGAACGGAGUAAGAUUCAGCCAACAUACUGUAUCUGAAUCGAGUAAGUGUCAGCAAACAUAUUGCAAGAAGUUAAAAUAACUGGAAAAUACCUGAGCAGGUAUUUGUGCAUUUCGAUCUUGCCUACGCACAUUAGGGUGCCUGGUAAGCAAUGUGUUCAAGCAAUCACUAAGAAAAUUUAACUCACUAUCAGUAACUUCAGGGCAAGAAAAUAUAAUGACUACCUUUGUGAGGCCACCACUUCCAUCCAAGCAUCCUUAACUCUAGGAUACACCCCCCAAACAAAUGUCCUCAUUGUGAAAUACAACAAGCAGUUAUCCUGUGAGGACAAAAAGUCUGUCUCAAAAGUAUACAAUAUAUUUUGCAUGUAAGAUUUAGGUCUGAGAAGUUGCCUUGUCAUUUAAAUGUAGGGUUUCAGUCACAGCGAAAACAAAAGGGUGUCAACCAAGAAAUCAUAUGACACCCAAUUUACUAUGACCAAAUUGCUGCUUUUUUCUUGUAAUGAAGUUCACCCAAUUGAAGAGAUGGCAACUGACCAAUGACCAAUCCACUGGCUCGCUGCCACCCACUUUCUCCCACCGCGGCUCAGCGCAUGGCAAGAGGGUGAAAUCCCCUGCACCCAGCAAAGAACAAGAGUGAUUAGCCCGCAACCAGCCAAUAGAGAAGGAUGACAGGGUGGUCACCUUUGAUACUUUGCGGCUUAAAGUAUUUGCUGAGAUCUUCCCAUGUAGCUUUUAGACUUUAUAACAACAACCUAUAGUGAUAUAUAUGAUUAAAAGCACAAUUAAAUUAUUACCCAAAGACAGCACAAAUUGAUAUGAUGCUUUAGACUUGAAUAUACACUCCCUGGUUUAACAUUUUCAUGAACAUUGGGUGAGCAUGCUUGUAACCCAAAAAGGGAUCAAAGCGACAGUACAAAGAACUUCUUGAGAUAGUAAUUAAUUGCAAGAAUGUGGUUAGCUCAAUCAAUCCCGGCCAAGCAAAAAAUAAAAUGGUAGAUCACGAAUAUAUGAAUCAUUUAGAAGUGGAUCAGUCCUAUCAACUGAUCUGUCGUCGGCGUUUUGUUUGCUUCUUUUGCACUGUUUUGUUAGAUAGAGCACCAGAUGGUUUACUGACACUCAUAAAUAUGUGUGACUACCAGCCAAGAUCUUAUCCUUAGUUGCAGCAUUUGAUGCGUUGAAUACACAUGUUAUAUCACAAUAUAGUUGGCAAGUUACUCCAUUGAAAAUUACAUAAGUAUAUUCCCAUAUAGAAUAGUAUCACUGUAUUAGAGGCUCAUUGUGCACCUGUAGAGCUGCUCUCUGAGAAUUAUUAAAGCGACUUGGUGAUUCAAAACGAGUGAGGAUAGCCUAAUUGUUGCAUCCCCAAAACUAUACGGCCCACGAAUACAAAAUAUCAGCAAGUAUGUUCUCUCAAGGAUUUUUUCGAAGAUGUUCUCCCAAGAAAAUUUCAGCAACUUCAACUUGAGAACUCUAUCUAAGUAAUUGCCGACCAAAAUAUUUGAUAAAACAGUGUUAGAGCAUACCGUAUUACCAGCAUCCCCAACCAGAUCAGCUAUCUGCUCAGAUAUGACAUCCUUCCUGUUUUCAUCCAACACAACAACCCAAUCAUGCGCACUACCAUCAGAACAAUUAGACUGCUAGAAUCUAAUGGAUGAGUGAGCUAUUUAUUAGGUAAAGACAGGUAAGCGUUCAAACAUACGAAAUCUUCAGCUUUGAGCUGCUGCAUCAUAGACGAAUCUUCUGCUCCAAUUUGCACCUUCACAUAUCUGAAAAGUAAAUUAUAUCACAUGACGACAUCAACAAUCAAAUUUAUCAUGAACAAGUUAUGGUUUAUUAAUUUCAAAUUCUGUAAGGCGGUAGUAUAAAUCAGAAGAAACAUAAUUAAGUGUAUGGCAAGUGAACUUGGCACCUGAUAAAUUCUACAGGCCAAUAUAUGACCACGGGACACAAAUUUACAUAAAUGAACUUCACCUCUUGUGCAGGAGACCAACCCCAACCCCUAUCCAACACAUGAAUAUUCAAACUUAGUCCUAUCUGAGCCAUCUUGAGUUGAACUGAGAACCAGUAAAAUGAUCCAUCAUGACCAAAUGCUUUAACAUCGACAUAUUCCUGCACCAGAUAAGUGGCACCGAAUCAGCAAAGUGUAGUGUUCAUGCCUUAACGCAAACAAAUUUAGUGUAAACUUCGCAAGAUUCUGCUCUGUCGGAGACAUUACGUGGAUGAUGAAAUUACCAAAGAGAAAAAGCUCAUUAUAAUACCCAAAUCAGUUCACCCGCAUCACCAAUAUAGGAAAUAGACAACGAUUUUUCCCCAAGAACAUGAACCUGCAGCACUGAAAAAAACUACAGACAUGACCCAAUCAAUCUGUACCUGCGAGAUUAUGUGAAUCAGCCAAAUGGAUAAUAAGAAAAAAGGUUUUGCUAAAGGCCUAAAGCACAUCU
rnacentral:lncRNA from 1 species